AAAAAAUGUAAAACCUGGAUCACACCAUCUGUAUCGGGCAUAAAUGAACACCUUAAGUGCCAGUUUGUAGUGAUGCUUUUUCACACUUCUGGCACUAAAAGGGUUACUCCUCUUACAGAUGCACCAUGUGAUAACUUGUUUAAUGCUGUAACAUCUUAAGGAGCAGUUUGUUUUUUUUUUUUUGUUUUUUUUUCCUUCCAAUUUUAAGAAAAAAAUAAAUGAAUAAGACUCUUGGUACUUGAACAAUCUUUGUGUGAAGAUGUGUUUUUAUAGGUUUUUGGAAAAUGCAAUUUAAACAUCUUUUUGUACAUUUUGCUGUAUUUCUGCUAUUUUAAGCAGAAUUCUUUUCAGGGGAAACUAGGUUUCAGCAUUUAGCUUUUUAUUGAACAGUUUAACUGUUUUUAAGAUGCAUUUUUUUUCUCCCCAUUUCAUUGGCUUCUUCUUUUAUCUAUCUUGGCAUUUUGUUUGCUUUGUCCUGUGUGCCUAUGACUCUAGAUGGCACAAAGGGCAGUUGUGG